CAAGUGAAUAAUAAUAAUUUAAAUGUAUUACAAAAAGACGGAAACAAACGAAGGAUUCACAGAAUCACUAAAAGUAGUGUAUGCAAGUUGAAUGGACCAAUGUCCAACAUCUAUCGCAUAUUUAUCAUCUUCCAAAUGCUCUGGCAUAUAUCAAAGGCAGCCAUGUUUGUUGGGUCAAAUUCAAAUUUCUCAACCAUCUUUUUGUCUCUAUCCACAAUAUGGCCUGAGAUUUUGGAGUGAUCAUCCAAGUUCGGAAUGAUAUUUGUGACAGAUGCAUACAUGGAAAGCUUCCUCUGUGCCCUCAGCUCUUCUUGCUCAAGUUUCUUUAGAGCUUGCUUGUGUUCUUCAACAGAAAUCCUUUGACGUCCGAGAUCAUUUAUCUCAUUGUUGAUGACUCUAAG
rnacentral:misc_RNA from 1 species